UACAGAGGGGGCAAGCGUUAAUCGGAAUUACUGGGCGUAAAGCGUGCGCAGGCGGUUAUUUAAGUCAGGUGUGAAAGCCCUGGGCUUAACCUAGGAAUUGCGCUUGAGACUGGAUAGCUUGGAGUGCGGCAGAGGGAGGUGGAAUUCCACGUGUAGCAGUGAAAUUCGUAGAUAUCGUAAGGAAGACCAGUGGCGAAGGCGAAUCUCUGGACAGUUACUGACACUGAGGCACGAAGGCCAGGGGAGCAAACGGG
rnacentral:rRNA from 1 species